rnacentral:lncRNA from 1 species
UUUGUUAGGUUAUUUCAGACUCUCUCAGUCGCUCUCGCUCUCUCACCUCACUGGCGCCGCUCGCCUCACUCACUCUCACAGUCCCCCCGCUCCACUCCUCCGUCGAAUCCACGCCGCUCCUCAUCGUCCACCCCGCUUCUCUCGGAUGACGAUGAGAAUCCACGCCGCUCCUCAUCGUCAUCCGCUAAUCCUCAUCGUCGAAUCCACGCCGGUCCUCAUCGUCAUCCGUCCCGAAAAACCGAAAAUAUGGCAACCGCUCCAUCUCCAUCGUCAUCCGCAUCGUCAAAAUCGUCAAAGGGAUGGAUAAACAGCAUCUCAGCGAUCGCCUCUCGUGUCUACUUCUUCCUCAUCAUUCUUCAGAUCCCGCUUUUCAGGUACUCCAGUUCUCACUCCAUUAAUCCCUACACUCUCUGUAUCCAAAUCUGUGUACUUUUUUUCUAAUUUUGAUAUAAUCCCUAGUUGUUCAACUUGUUUGGCUAUCUGGGUUUGCUUAUUUUUGCUAAUUUCCAUGUUUUUGUAUCUGGGUAUUUGGUAAUUUUUCGGUUUGUCGAAUCUCGGUUGGUUAAAGUUUGAAACCCUCUGUGGGUUUAUCUGGAAUUUGGAUGCACAUUUUGAAGCUAUUGGGACCGUAUUGUUGAUUUGGACUUCGAUUUUACUGAAGGAUUAAGUAUAUUAUUUGUUUUAGAUUGGUCGAUUGAAAUUUGUGAUACACGGAGUUUGGCUUUUGGAUCUGCAAAAAGGGAUUUAGUUUAGCAGUUGAAUUGAUACACUUUCGGGAAUCCCGAAGUUUCCCGAAAAUCCUGAAACACUUUCGGGAAUCCCGAAUUUCGGGAUUCCAAUAGUUUUGGUUCGGUUUCGGGAUAUAAAAUCCCAUCCCGAAAUGUUUUGGUUUGGGAAUCGGGUUCGGGGUUUCGGUUCGGGAUCCCGACCCGAACCAGCCCUAGCCGUUAUUUUAUUUAUUAUUUUUUUUAACAAUUUUUUUUUUAAAAUUUCCCUAUGCCUUUCUAAACCAUUAAACAUUACAUAACAUUAAGCUAGCAAUGG